GGGCCCCGCGGAGGAGGGGACGCGAUGAAGUUCCCCCCCGUACGUGCCCCUUUUCGUGAGAAACACCCAAGAUUUGGUGAAGAGCAUCUUUCUAGAGGGAAAUGUUUUAAAAUGUCCUCUCCAGGCUCAGCUCCUGAGGAAAAAGCAGCUUUUGGGGUAUUUUCAUGCAGAAAACUUGAAAUUUGACUGUGCCAAGAGUUGCUAAAAUGAUUUAAAAUUUUAAAUUAUGGCUUAAACCAGCUGGAAAUGGGCAGAUUAUUGCUGUAAAAAUGAUCGUUGAGAUAAACCUUGCCUAAAAUCAGGGUAUUUCUGGGGGAGGCCUUUUCCUGCACCUGAAAUGGGGGGAAAAAUUUACAUUUGAGAGCCUUAAUGGUGGAAUAGCCCAGAAAAUAAUUAAUAAGGAAAAUUUUUCUCCUGCGGGAAACGCCCCAAAAAUGUCGGAACAGCUCCUCCCACACCCCCAAAAUGCCUCAUUGUUUUCGUCAGCAGCUUUAAUUAGCCCCAGAACAGCUUUAAUGAAUGAUAAUUAAAAGGUUGGGGAGGGGGGUUGUCCCCUCCCUGCCAGCAUUCUUGGGGUGUCAUUUCCUGCCCGGAAACGCCUCAAAAAGCCAAAAAAGUGCUUUAAAUUGCCUAAAAAAUGCCUUAAAAUGCCUCAAAAUAGUGAGGGUUUAUUCCAUUUCUUGAAAACAGGGACUUCCAUGACUCAGCAUGGCCUGAAAUGGGGUGAAACACAAAGAUUUUGAUGCAUUUCUGUCGUAGAAAAGGAAAUUAAAAUGGUGGUUAAGGCUGUGCUGGAUCAGGGUAGAAAAAAGAGUUUAAAAAGGGUUGUUCAGCCUUUUUGGGGAACAAAAACUGGUGAAAAUUUGGGCUUUGGGGUCUGUGUUCCCUCAAGAACGUUUUUUUCCUCAAGAUUUGUGACCCUUUUGAGGAGAAACGGCGCCUUUUUGGCAGCGGCCCAGCCCCGUGACGCAGCAAAAAAAAAAAAAAAAAAGUAAAAUGAAUGAAUAAAAAAGAAAAUAAAAAACCUCUAAAGCCACCCGGGAAGGUCGAAGCGAGGGAUUUUAGGGCAGAACUGGCCAAACCGAACAAAAAAAAUCUCUGUUAAAUUUAACCAUUUUCGUACUGGACCGCGUGGGCCGGCCGAAGGCCCACGGCCUCGGGGGGAGGGGGGGGCACAGUUUGUGAGGGGAAAAAAUCGAAGAAAAGGGUAAAAAAAGUGAAAUAAUGAAAAAAGAAGCUUUUUCACACUGCGGGCGGUAGAUUUGGGGGGGGAUUUUGGGGGUUGCUGCCCUUUUUUGGCGAUUUUAGGGACUAUUUUGUCGCCCCCGCGGGGGCGGUGCUGGGCCGCUUAUAAGGGAGGGCCCCGCGCCGGCUGCGCCCGGCCGAGAACCAGCCCCGACACGGCCCGAAUUCGGCUCAAAAUCGCUUAGAGCUGCUCGAUUUUAUACAAAAAAGCUCCUAAAAUGGCUUUAUUUCUUACCGAGGGCUCCAAAAAUGGCUUUAUUGCCUACGAGAAGCUCUUAAAGCUGCGAUAUUUUAUAGAAAGAGCUCCAAAGACUGCUUUAUUUCAUAAAAGCAGCUCUUAAAUCUUUAUUUAAAGAAAAGAGACAAAAGCUGUUUCCUUUAUGGAAAACUGAGCUCUUAAAGCUGCUUGGUUUCUAUAUAAAUCCUUAAAUUGCGGCGAUUCCACUAAUGGGAAAAGCCGGGGCGAGCCGGGGCACUUUUAAUUGAAAAAAAUGAAUGAAAAACCUUAAAAAAGCUCUUAAAGCUGGUUUUUAUUCAAACCGAACCUUCUAGUGCUGGUUUUUAAGAAAUCGCCGCUUUCAAAGCCGAUUUCUGGGAGAAAAUGCAGCUCUCGCAGGUCUUUAAUUCUUAAAAUAUCCUAAUGUGAUAUUUUCAAAAAGCCGGAGCAAAGCUGGGGCGAUUUUACUUAAAAAAGAGCUUUUUAAGCUUCUUUAAUUUAAAGAAAGAAAAAGCGCUUGAUACGCUGUUUUCUGCUAAAAAAGCUCCUAAAUCGAAUUUUAUUUUUAAAAGCUCCUAAAGCUUUUUAAAAAUGUAGAUUUGUCCCCAAGUGGGGCCGGGCCGGGCAGCGCAGGCGGGGGCGGCCGGUUUGGGGUGAAAUGCGGCAUUUUCAGGAUCAGGAUGGAUUGAGAGGAGCCAAUUUUGAGGGAAGAGCAGGAAAACUGAAGAGUGAAGAUGGAGUCGGCAGGGAAAGGAAAAGUUUUUCUUCGCAGUGGCCCCAUCUGGAGGGAAAAAAGGACUUUUUGGUAAAAUGGCGGCAGUUGAGCAGGGGAGGAGCAGAGAGAAGAGAGGAGAAAAAGGAGAGAAAGACAGAAAAUAGAACAAAAAAGAGAGAGAAAAUAGAAGAAAAUCAGAAAAAAAAAAGAAAAUAGAAAACCUUAGAAAAAAGAAAACAGAAACAAAACUGAAAAAAUAGAAAUUGGAAAAAAGAAAAUUGAAAAAGCAUAGAAAAAAUGGAAAAAAAAGAAAAUAGAAAAUUAUAGGAAAAAAAGAGAAGAAAAUUGGAGAAUAGAAGAAACUAGAAAAAUAAUUAGAAAAUUUGAGAAAAUAGAAGAAAUUAGAAAAAUGAAAAUCGAACAAAUAGAAGAAUAUAGAAAAAUAAUAGAAAAAUGAAAAUAGACUGUAAAUAAAUAGAAAAAAUGCAAUUAGAAAAAUGAAACUAGAAAAAAAGAAAAUAGAAAAUUGUAGAAAAAAAAGAAAAA